rnacentral:rRNA from 1 species
AUUGAACGCUGGCGGCAGGCCUAACACAUGCAAGUCGAACGAGUGGCGGACGGGUGAGUAAUGUCUGGGAAACUGCCUGAUGGAGGGGGAUAACUACUGGAAACGGUAGCUAAUACCGCAUACCAUCAGAUGUGCCCAGGUGGGGUUAGCUAGUUGGUGGGGUACCGGCUCACCAAGGCGACGAUCCAUAGCUGGUCUGAGAGGUUGACCGGCCACACUGGAACUGAGACACGGGCCAGACUCCUACGGGAGGCAGCAGUGGGGAAUAUUGCACAAUGGGCGCAAGCCUGAUGCAGCCAUGCCGCGUGUAUGAAGAAGGCCUUCGGAUUGUAAAGUACUUUCAGCGGGGAGGCGUUACCCGCAGAAGAAGCCCCGGCUAACUCCGUGCCAGCAGCCGCGGUAAUUC